CCUACGGUAGGUAGCAGUGAGGAAUAUUGGUCAAUGGACGCAAGUCUGAACCAGCCAUGCCGCGUGCAGGCAGACGGCUCUAUGAGUUGUAAACUGCUUUUGUACGAGGGUAAACGCAGAUACGCGUACCUGUCUGAAAGUCUCGUACGAAUAAGGAUCUGCUAACUCCGUGCCAGCAGCCGCGGUAAUACGGAGGAUUCAAGCGUUAUCCGGAUUUAUUGGGUUUAAAGGGUGCGUAGGCGGUCGGAUAAGUUAGAGGUGAAAUCCCGAGGCUCAACUUCGGAAUUGCCUCUGAUACUGUUCGGCUAGAGAGUAGUUGCGGUAGGCGGAAUGUAUGGUGUAGCGGUGAAAUGCUUAGAGAUCAUACAGAACACCGAUUGCGAAGGCAGCUUACCAAGCUACUUCUGACGUUGAGGCACGAAAGCGUGGGGAGCAAACAGGAUUAGAUACCCCAGUAGUC
rnacentral:rRNA from 1 species